rnacentral:rRNA from 1 species
AUGGAUAAUUAUUGCAAUGCCUCGGGCCAGAGAAUAAACUUAUCAAAAUCCUCGGUGUUUUUCAGUAAGGGCUGCCCAACUUCUCUCAAAAUCGAGGUAAAGAAUGCAGUGAAUAUUACAAAUGAAUCGCUUACAGAUAGAUAUCUGGGAAUGCCAUCUGAUGUGGGUAAUUGUAAGAAUGGAGCUUUCAAAUUUUUAAAAGACAGAGUCUGGAACAAGGUAAAAGGGUGGACGGAGAAGCUUCCGUCAGCGGGAGGCAAAGAAGUUUUGAUUAAAUCUGUUGCACAGGCGGUCACUGCAUAUUCCAUGUCUUACUUCAAACUUCCCCGUGGCCUUUAUGAGCACAUUAACUCAUUGAUCGGAAAAUUUUGGUGGGGCAGCAAAGAAGGGCAGAGGAAGCCAAGUUGGGUCUCCUGGAGUACGAUGACUAGGCCGAAAUAUUGUGGAGGGCUUGGAUUUCAUGCCAUAGAGCUUUUCAAUCUAGCCCUCCUAGCCAGACAGGCGUGGAGAAUCUUAACGGGUCCAGUCUCCCUCAACGCUCGAGUACUGAAGGCCAAGUACCACCUUGGUGUUGAUUUUUUUAACUCUAAGUUGGGCUCGGCUCCUUCACAAAUCUGGCAGGCCACUAUGGAUGGCCUGGAUGUUCGCACCCAAGGGCUGAUCAGGCGCAUCGGUGAUGGACUCACCAGACACAUAUGGGAACGGAACUAG